rnacentral:rRNA from 1 species
AACGAACGCUGGCGGCAGGCUUAACACAUGCAAGUCGAACGCACCGCAAGGUGAGUGGCGCACGGGCGAGUAACGCGUGGGAAUGUACCGUUUAGUACGGAAUAGCUCCGGGAAACUGGAAUUAAUACCGUAUACGCCCUUCGGGGGAAAGAUUUAUCGCUAAACGAUCAGCCCGCGUGAGAUUAGGUAGUUGGUGGGGUAAUGGCCUACCAAGCCUACGAUCUCUAGUUGGUCUGAGAGGAUGAUCAGCCACACUGGAACUGAGACACGGUCCAGACUCCUACGGGAGGCAGCAGUGGGGAAUAUUGGACAAUGGGGGAAACCCUGAUCCAGCCAUGCCGCGUGAAUGAUGAAGGCCUUAGGGUUGUAAAGCUCUUUUACCGAUGAAGAUAAUGACGGUAGUCGGAGAAAAAGCCCCGGCUAACUUCGUGCCAGCCGCCGCAGUAA